rnacentral:lncRNA from 1 species
AUCUCAAACCUGACUCAGAAACAAAACCAUCUCAAUGUGCAGAGAUGAGCAUCCUUACCCACUAUCAUAACAUAUUUUCUGGUGUUUUCACAGUGCUGCCCUUCCUAAUCCCCAUUCCACGGCAAUCCACAUGCCAUGAUGCCCAGAGGCAUUAACAAAGGAGACACACAGGGGCUACUCACGUUGGCUUUUCAUGGUUUUGAUGAAAAUCUCAGUGUCUUCAUCUCAUACAAUGUGGUUAGUAAUAGUACCAUUUAGGGUUGAAGAAUUAAAUGGUACGAAUUAUAUAGGGUGCUUAUUAUAACCUACAUGGAAAAUGCCUGGGAUAUGUUAGCUAUGCUCAUCACCAACAUCGUUAUAUGAUGGUAAUAAUCAGAUAGUCAGGAAUGCCGACACCAAAAAAAUGGAUACAUGCUCUGAGGGAAUGAAUGUGGAGAGAUCAGAAGGUCAGGAACAAAGCCAUACAACAUGUCUGCAGUAAAGGGAUAGAGAAAAGAAAACCAAAAAGACAUACGCACUUGCAUGUUCAUCGCAGCACUAUUCACAAUAGCAAAGACAUGGAGUCAGCCAGGUCUUGUUUUUAAUCAAUUUACCCAUUCUCUGUCUUCUUACUGGAUAGUUUAAUCUAUUUCCAUUCAAGGUAAUUAUUGAUAGAUAAGGACUUGUACUGCCAUAUACUGUUUUCUUGUUGUCUUUUAGAAUUUUUGUACCUUUUUGUCCCUUUGUUGUUUUCCUUUGUAGUUAAGUGAUUUUCUCUGUGUGUUUUUGUUUCUUGUUAUUUUAUU